GAUGAACGCUGGCGGCGUGCCUAAUACAUGCAAGUCGAGCGAACAGACGAGGAACUUGCUCCUCUGACGUUAGCGGCGGACGGGUGAGUAACACGUGGAUAACCUACCUAUAAGACUGGGAUAACUUCGGGAAACCGGAGCUAAUACCGGAUAACAUGUUGAACCGCAUGGUUCAACAGUGAAAGACGGUUUUGCUGUCACUUAUAGAUGGAUCCGCGCCGCAUUAGCUAGUUGGUAAGGUAACGGCUUACCAAGGCAACGAUGCGUAGCCGACCUGAGAGGGUGAUCGGCCACACUGGAACUGAGACGCGGUCCAGACUCCUACGGGAGGCAGCAGUAGAGAAUCUUCCGCAAUGGGCGAAAGCCUGACGGAGCAACGCCGCGUGAGUGAAGAAGGUCUUCGGAUCGUAAAACUCUGUUAUUAGGGAAGAACAAAUGUGUAAGUAACUAUGCACGUCUUGACGGUACCUAAUCAGAAAGCCACGGCUAACUACGUG
rnacentral:rRNA from 1 species